rnacentral:rRNA from 1 species
UAUGUGAUCGUCUCUCGCAUAUCAAUAAGCGGAGGAAAAGAAACUAACAAGGAUUCCCCUAGUAACGGCGAGUGAAGCGGGAAGAGCUCAAAUUUGAAAUCUUAAAGGGUUUCCCUUUACGAAUUGUAGUUUAAAGAAGUGUUUUCUGUUGAGGUUUUGGUAAAAGUUCUUUGGAAUAGGACAUCAUAGAGGGUGAGAAUCCCGUAUUUGACCUUUACUUUCAACUUUGUGAUACACUUUCAAAGAGUCGGAUUGUUUGGGAAUGCAGUCCAAAAUGGGUGGUAAAUUUCGUCUAAAGCUAAAUAUUGGCGAGAGACCGAUAGCGAACAAGUACCGUGAGGGAAAGAUGAAAAGAACUUUGAAAAGAGAGUUAAACAGUACGUGAAAUUGUCAAAAGGGAAGCGUUUGACACCAGUGUUGUUUUUCUGAAAAUCAAUUAAAGAACUGUUUAUGCUAAGUUGUUUAGACUUUAUCAGCUAACUGUUUAGUUUUGAGCUUUUCUUUAAUGCACUUUUCAGUUAACAAGUCAACAUCAAUUUCUUUUGCUGUAAAAAAGCUUGAGGAAGGUGGCUUGAGAUUCGUCUUAAGUGUUUAUAGCCUCUUGCCUAUGCAGUCGGAGAGAUUGAGGUCUGCAGCGUAGAUCCUUCGGGGCUAAAUGCAUUUGUGCUAAGUUAUAGCAUUUUAUAGACAACUUGUUGACUAUGAUUUGUCUUGUAGCUUACUCGCUUAUGUUAUUUUACCUACGCUUAGGAUGUUGAAGAUAUGCGCGACACG